CGGACUGCAGCCUGCAACCCGGCUGCACGAAGCCGGAAUCGCUAGUAAUCGCAGAUCAGCAUGCUGCGGUGAAUACGUUCCCGGGUCUUGUACACACCGCCCGUCACACCAUGGGAGCCGGGAAUGCCCGAAGUCAGCGGCCUAACCGCAAGGAGGGAGCUGCCGAAGGCAGGCCUGGUGACUGGGGUGAAGUCGUAACAAGGUAAC
rnacentral:rRNA from 1 species